rnacentral:rRNA from 1 species
UACAGAGGGGGCAAGCGUUGUUCGGAAUUACUGGGCGUAAAGGGCGCGUAGGUGGCCUUCUAAGUCGAACGUGAAAUCCCCGGGCUCAACCCGGGAACUGCGUCCGAUACUGGAAGGCUUGAAUCCGGGAGAGGGAUGCGGAAUUCCAGGUGUAGCGGUGAAAUGCGUAGAUAUCUGGAGGAACACCGGUGGCGAAGGCGGCAUCCUGGACCGGUAUUGACACUGAGGCGCGAAAGCCAGGGGAGCAAACGGG